AUUGAACGCUGGAGGCGUGCUUAACACAUGCAAGUCGUGCGAGAAAGGGACUUCGGUCCUGAGUAGAGCGGCGCACGGGUGAGUAACGCGUGGGUGAUCUCCCUUGGUGAUCGGGAUAACAGCGGGAAACUGCUGCUAAUACCAGAUAAUCUUCAUGUUUAACUUCAUGGGGUAAAGGUGGCCUCUGCUGCAAGCUACCACAUCAAGAUGAGCCCGCGUCUCAUUAGCUAGUUGGUAGGGUAAUGGCCUACCAAGGCUACGAUGAGUAGCUGGUCUGAGAGGAUGACCAGCCACACUGGGACUGGAACACGGCCCAGACUCCUACGGGAGGCAGCAGUGGGGAAUAUUGCGCAAUGGGCGAAAGCCUGACGCAGCGACGCCUCGUGAGGGAUGAAGGUCUUCGGAUCGUAAACCUCUGUCAAGAGGGAAGAAACCCUUAGGUUCGAAUAGGGCCUUUGGCUGACGGUACCUCAAAAGGAAGCACCGGCUAACUCCGUGCCAGCCGCCGCAGUAA
rnacentral:rRNA from 1 species